GACGAACGCUGGCGGCGUGCUUAACACAUGCAAGUCGAACGGAAAGGCCCGGCCUUUGUGGGGUGCUCGAGUGGCGAACGGGGGAGUAACACGUGAGUAACCUGCCCUUGACUUUGGGAUAACUUCAUGAAACUGGGGCUAAUACCGGAUAGGAGCUCCUGCUGCAUGGUGGGGGUUGGAAAGUUUCGGCGGUUGGGGAUGGACUCGCGUCCUAUCAGCUUGUUGGUGGGGUAGUGGCUUACCAAGGCCUUGACGGGUAGCCGGCCUGAGAGGGUGACCGGCCACAUUGGGACUGGGAUGCGGCCCAGCCUCCUCCGGGAGGCAGCAGUGGGGAAUAUUGCACUAUGGGCGGAAGCCUGAUGCAGCAACGCCGCGUGCGGGAUGACGGCCUUCGGUUUGUAUUCCGCUUUCGCCUGUGCCGAAGCGUGAGUGACGGUAAUGGGUAAAGAAGCACCGGCUAACUACGUG
rnacentral:rRNA from 1 species